rnacentral:rRNA from 1 species
AUUGACGGGGGCCCGCACAAGCGGUGGAGCAUGUGGUUUAAUUCGAUGAUACGCGAGGAACCUUACCAGGGCUUAAAUGCAGUUUGACAGGGGUGGAAACACCUUUUCCUUCGGGCAAAUUGCAAGGUGCUGCAUGGUUGUCGUCAGCUCGUGCCGUGAGGUGUCAGGUUAAGUCCUAUAACGAGCGCAACCCCUUUGGUUAGUUACCAGCAUGUAAUGAUGGGGACUCUAGCCAUACUGCCAGUGUAAACUGUGAGGAAGGUGGGGAUGACGUCAAAUCAUCACGGCCCUUACGUCCUGGGCUACACACGUGCUACAAUGGUAGGGACAGAGAGCAGCCACUGGGUGACCAGGAGCGAAUCUACAAACCCUAUCACAGUUCGGAUCGCAGUCUGCAACUCGACUGCGUGAAGCUGGAAUCGCUAGUAAUCGCAUAUCAGCCAUGAUGCGGUGAAUACGUUCCCGGGCCUUGUACACACCGCCCGUCAAGCCAUGGAAGCUGGGGGUACCUGAAGUCGGUCGCCGCGAGGAGCCGCCUAGGGUAAAACUAGUAACUGGG